rnacentral:lncRNA from 1 species
UGCGUACGUCAGCAUGAUUACGUAAUUCAUGUUCCAACAAUCGUCAAGUUUGGCCAUUGCAUGACCCGUUCGUAUGCUGUCCAAAAUCAAUAAUGAAUCUUAUCUGGGGAGAAGUAGAAUAAACAAAGACUCAUCAGGUCUUGCACGGGGAAAAGGCCUCCUGACACAAUCAGCUUUCUCUGUCCUUGUCGUUUGAUGGAAUCGUUUUUCGUCAGCAUUGCAGAUACCAUGUUCUUGGAGGAGCAAUGUUGGCAGUCAGACACUGUGUCUUUCCUUGGGAUUCAAUUUGGUGCUCUCUCCUCCCAUUUCCUUCACGAGAGAAUCUUAACCUAGUACAGCAAUGUGUAUUUAUUCAACUAAUUGAGUGGCCUGUAGUGGAAGCAGUUAAGACAAAGGAAAGCACCUGCUUGAGCACUUCUUAUAUUAACUAGCUGAAACUUGAAAGCUGCAACGAUUAUCAGUUUUAGAGGGAGAUUCUCUACCAUCUAACGAAUUGGCUAUCAACAUAGGAAUACGCCCUUAGUCUGUUUAUAACUCUUGCCUCGGUGCUAUGUUACCCUAGCUUCUUUCAUGAUGUAAACGAAGGCUUUUGGCUCACUCUUCCCAAUGCAUUGCAUCGAGACGGAGGAGCCUACUCAUUAACUAAUAUUUUUUCUAUUUCCC